rnacentral:rRNA from 1 species
AACGAACGCUGGCGGCAGGCUUAACACAUGCAAGUCGAACGAGUGUAGCAAUACACUAGUGGCGCACGGGUGAGUAACACGUGGAUAUCUGCCUUUUGGUUCGGGAUAACCCUGGGAAACUAGGGCUAAUACCGAAUGGUUCCUACGGGAUAAAGAUUUAUCGCCAAAAGAUGAGUCCGCGUCCGAUUAGCUAGUUGGUGAGGUAAUGGCUCACCAAGGCGACGAUCGGUAGCNGGUCUGAGAGGAUGGCCAGCCACAUUGGGACUGAGAGACGGCCCAGACUCCUACGGGAGGCAGCAGUGGGGAAUCUUGCGCAAUGGCCGAAAGGCUGACGCAGCGACGCCGCGUGUGGGAGGACGCCUUUCGGGUGUAACCAACUG